CCUCUCUAGCAAGCGUCUUUGCUGAAAGGAUCCAUUUUCACCAAAUACACCUGCAAAGUGUUCAAUGCCAGUGGAGACAAAGAGGAAGAGGCCACAUUUGAAGUACAAAAUGCACAAAAUAAAGAUCCACAUACGGGGGAAAAGUUGGGUUCAGCCUCCAAAAUAGUCGCUCCUGUGGUGGUCAUCGGAUCUCUGAUCGUAGGGUUGCUGUUGGCGCUGCUGAUCUAUAGAAGGCGAUCUCAACGUGAUCAUCAGGAGAGGGAUAAAACAUGCCAAGUCAGCCCGGCCUGAGGAGACACUGCAUGUCACAUGACACAUGCUAAUGUACUGGCAACCUCUGAAAUCAACACUUCCUUGUUUGCUAAUCUCCACUCUAUCGUUUGUUUCCCUAUUACAAACGACUGCGUAUAUAACCAGGAAUAACUUGUACUACUGUGAUUAAUCCAAGGAACUGUAAGCCCUUCAUUCACUUCAACUUUCUAAGAAAACAAUCUUAAAUGAGAUCUAAAUCUGAAGAAAGAUCUCUGAUUUUGAAUCAGUGAUGAUGGACAACUAGAAGGCAGGGGGUCCUGUUCAGGCCAUGUGACCUUUAAACAUUGACAACCACAUCGGGAGCUCGGUGUAACAUCACCGAAAACCACCUUAGUGAAUUUAGGAGGGCAGCAGAUCUUUGAUAUGUUUUGGUUGUUGGAGAAAAUAUUUUGUUUAAUUGUGCCCACGCAGUAACUGUAGCAUUUUGUAGCUUGGCAGGAAUGGCCCUCCUUUUCACUUCCUCUUGUCGUAUUAUGUCAACGUUCUGAAGAAAGUGUUGCACAAAAGGAAGUCAUAUUAUUAGGAUAGUUAGGGAGUUAUAUGUGUAUUCCAUGAAAAUGUAACAAAAGACAAGAUAAGUAUAAUACUAUAUUUUUCUGUCAACUUAUCCCAUGAAAAGACCA